rnacentral:rRNA from 1 species
CCUACGGGAGGCAGCAGUAGGGAAUCUUCCACAAUGGGCGAAAGCCUGAUGGAGCAACGCCGCGUGGGUGAAGAAGGUCUUCGGAUCGUAAAACCCUGUUGUUAGAGAAGAAAGUGCGUGAGAGUAACUGUUCACGUUUCGACGGUAUCUAACCAGAAAGCCCCGGCUCACUACGUGCCAGCAGCCGCGGUAAUACGUAGGUGGCAAGCGUUAUCCGGAUUUAUUGGGCGUAAAGGGAACGCAGGCGGUCUUUUAAGUCUGAUGUGAAAGCCUUCGGCUUAACCGGAGUAGUGCAUUGGAAACUGGGAGACUGGAGUGCAGAAGAGGAGAGUGGAACUCCAUGUGUAGCGGUGAAAUGCGUAGAUAUAUGGAAGAACACCAGUGGCGAAAGCGGCUCUCUGGUCUGUAACUGACGCUGAGGUUCGAAAGCGUGGGUAGCAAACAGGAUUAGAUACCCUUGUAGUC